rnacentral:tRNA from 1 species
GUGGGUGUGGCGAAGUGGCUAACGCAUCGGAUUGUGGCUCCGACAUUCGUGGGUUCGAUUCCCAUCACUCACCCCA